AUCAACUUUCGAUGGUAGGAUAGAGGCCUGCCAUGGUGGUAACGGGUAACGGGGUGUUAGGGCACGACACCGGAGAGGGAGCCUGAGAAACGGCUACCACAUCCAAGGAUGGCAGCAGGCGCGCAAAUUACCCAAUCCCGACACGGGGAGGUAGUGACAAUAAAUAACAAUACGGGGUUCUUUCGGAUUUCGUAAUUGGAAUGAGUACAAUUUAAAUCUNUUAACGAGGAACAAUUGGAGGGCAAGUCUGGUGCCAGCAGCCGCGGUAAUUCCAGCUCCAAUAGCGUAUAUUAAAGUUGCUGCAGUUAAAAAGCUCGUAGUUGAAUUUCGGGACCAUCAUGUCGGUCGUGCCUCGGUACGUACUGGCAUUGUUGGUUUCUCCCUUCUGACGAACCACGAUGUCAUUUAUUUGGUGUUGUGGGGAAUCAGGACUGUUACUUUGAAAAAAUUAGAGUGUUUAAAGCAGGCUCACGCUUGAAUACAUUAGCAUGGAAUAAUGAAAUAGGACGUUUGAUUCUAUUUUGUUGGUUUCUAGGAUCGACGUAAUGAUUAAUAGGGAUAGUUGGGGGCAUUAGUAUUCAAUUGUCAGAGGUGAAAUUCUUGGAUUUAUUGAAGACUAACUACUGCGAAAGCAUUUGCCAAGGAUGUUUUCAUUAAUCAAGAACGAAAGUUAGGGGAUCGAAGACGAUCAGAUACCGUCGUAGUCUUAACCAUAAACUAUGCCGACUAGGGAUCGGAUGAUGUUAAUUUUUUAAUGACUCAUUCGGCGCCUUACGGGAAACCAAAGUGUUUGGGUUC
rnacentral:rRNA from 1 species